ACAGUAUGUUGUGCAACCAGUCUCACGACUAUUCUGCAAGUGGAUUCAGCCAGAAAAUAAGGGACUGAUCACUUAAAACAGCCGUGUAGAGUUACCUUCCUUCACGGUUAUCUGUAAAAAUAUGUUAGUUGCAUACGUCAUCACGCUACCAUGAGAUAUGCCUUGCUUGAAGUAAACUCAAAGCCAAAGCCCAAAUAUGAA